rnacentral:tRNA from 1 species
CAAGAUAUAGCGUAAUGGCUAACGCGUUUGCUUUGGGAGCAAAAAAUUAUAGGUUCGAGUCCUAUUAUUUUGA